rnacentral:lncRNA from 1 species
CUGUAUCUCCAGGGACAGGCAGCCCCUGUGGACUGGAGGGGUGCAGGCGCUGUCAUGGACCACUUUGCAUUGUCACGAAAAGGCGUUUUCAUCUCCAUGUGUGUGCAAGGAAGUCCCUGCUCCAUCCCAACACUCCGACCAACAAGCCAAGCAAACAAAAAGAUGAAGGAACUGAGAAGACGGCUCUCAUGGUUAAGCUCAGCCGUGAGGACCUAAAUUCAGAUCCCCAGCUCCCAGAGGUCAGAAGACAGGCAGAGCUGCAGAGCUGGCUUUCCAAGCCCAGAGGCAGCAACAACUCUGCCCUAGCCCCCUCUACCCCGAGGCAGUGUAGACAGAGAGGCUAGCUUCCACCUGUCAGAUUUACGGUCCAGUUUCAUAGAGCAAACACAAUACUCUGUGCUCAGCAUGCCAUUUCCUCUUCCGGACACACAGCAGGAAAGCGCCGUUCACUCCUCCAGCACAGUCAUGCUGAGGUCACAGGAGCACGGGCCAGCACACAUGGCUGUGAGCUCUACGUGCCAUUUCUCAGCCCGAGUAUAAAAGGCCCUGGAAAAAAAUCUCCCUCGCCCUCCCCCGCUCUCAUCCUUUCAGGACCUUGGUGGCCACAUGAUGGAUGAGGUUAUAACAUAAAAUUUGCAGAGAUGGGGGAUGUGGGGAGCGGAGCUGACGUGACUUUUCAGAAGAGAGUCAUCCUGGUUGUCUGUCUGCUCUGACCUAUUUCAGGGUUUCCUUGUGCAACAAGCAAACCUUCAUUGUGUCAAGACCCUAAGGGUUCAAAGUGCAUCGUUGUGGAAUAGCCCGACACAUUGUAACUAAAAGUGUGUGUGUGUGUGUGUGUGUGUGUGUGUGUGUGUGUGUGUGUGUGUGUGUGGUGUGUACACGUGAGCACAGUGUCUCAUCUAGUCAGGGCUGUCUUUGCACUCAUUGGAUAGUGUAGGAUGACCUUGAACUUCUGCUCCAUUUACCUCCACUUUCUGAGUGCUGGGAUUGCAGGCCUGCACCACCACGCCCCAUUCGUGCUGUACUGAGGGUGGAACCCAGAGUUUUGUGCCUGCUGGGCCCUCUACCGACUAAGCCCUUUCGAUGGUUACUUCUAAUUGUCAACUGGAGCAACCUAGAAUUAUCCGGGAAGAAACAGACGGGAUGUCUGCCUACUCAUUUAUCCACAGAUGCGCCGAGGAUGGCCUGCUGAGCAGUGGUCUUUCGUGGCCUACUCCCAGUCUUUGAAGUGUCUUUGUUGUCUUUGGAAGCAAUAAAUAUGACACAUUCAUCAUUAAAUAAAUACAAUCCACAUGAUGUAGAUAAACUCACAAGGACACCCCACUGCUGCCAUCCAAAAGAAAGCCCCUGGGUCCAAAAGGGAGUAACAUGGUAACAACAGUUGACAGGAUGGAGGCUACAGGCCCUGGUGGUGACCAUUGUAUAGAUCAUACUCCGCUUUAAUAGGAGCUUGAUUAAACUGUGCGCCAGUAUGAAUGCUAUAAGACUCUUCCAAUACUUGUUACGUUGUUGAAAGAAGUAAAAUUAAGCAACC